rnacentral:rRNA from 1 species
ACUGACGGAAUAGUUCGUUAAAAGGCGUAGGUAUAGGGACGGUAGGCAAAUCCGCCGACCCUGCUGAAACCCAAUAGUACAGCAAAGCUUCGGCGGCGCUGAUAGAGCAGGUAAACAGACUUCCAAGAAAACCCGCUAAGCUUCAGGUUAUAAAAACCCGUACCGUAAACCGACACAGGUAGUCGAGGAGAGAAUCCUAAGGUGCUCGAGUGAAUCAUGGCUAAGGAACUCGGCAAAAUGGCCCUGUAACUUCGGGAGAAGGGGCGCUUCCUCCAGCAAUGGAGAAGCCGCAGUGAAAAGGCCCAGGCGACUGUUUAACAAAAACAUAUGGCUUUGCAAAAUCGAAAGAUGAAGUAUAAGGCCUGACACCUGCCCGGUGCUGGAAGGUUAAGAGGGGAUGUCAUCGCAAGAGAAGCAUUGAAUCGAAGCCCCAGUAAACGGCGGCCGUAACUAUAACGGUCCUAAGGUAGCGAAAUUCCUUGUCGGGUAAGUUCCGACCUGCACGAAUGGUGUAACGAUCUGGGCGCUGUCUCAGCCAUGAGCUCGGUGAAAUUGUGGUAUCGGUGAAGACGCCGAUUACCCGCAACGGGACGGAAAGACCCCAUGCACCUUCACUAUAGCUUAACAUUGGAAUUGGGUACAGGAUGUGUAGGAUAGGCGGGAGAUGUUGAAGUGGCUUCGCCAGGAGUCAUGGAAUCAACCUUGAAAUACCGCCCUUUCUGUAUUCGGUUUCUAACUCGGUUAUUCCGAGGACAUUGUUUGGUGGGUAGUUUGACUGGGGUGGUCGCCUCCAAAAAGGUAACGGAGGCUUUCAAAGGUAAGCUCAGUACGCUUGGUAACCGUACGCGGAGUGCAAUGGCAUAAGCUUGCUUGACUGUGAGACCAACAAGUCGAACAGGGUCGAAAGACGGACAUAGUGAUCCGGUGGUUCUGUAUGGAAGGGCCAUCGCUCAAAGGAUAAAAGGUACGCUGGGGAUAACAGGCUGAUCUCCCCCAAGAGCUCAUAUCGACGGGGAGGUUUGGCACCUCGAUGUCGGCUCGUCACAUCCUGGGGCUGGAGAAGGUCCCAAGGGUUGGGCUGUUCGCCCAUUAAAGUGGCACGCGAGCUGGGUUCAGAACGUCGCGAGACAGUUCGGUCCCUAUCUGUUGUGGGCGUUGGAAGUUUGAGUGGAUCUGUCCUUAGUACGAGAGGACCGGGAUGGACUGACCGCUGGUAAACCAGUUAUGCCGCCAGGUGUACGGCUGGGUAGCUACGUCGGGAAUAGAUAAGCGCUGAAAGCAUCUAAGUGCGAAACUAGCCACGAGAUGAGACUUCCUUAUAGGGCCGUAGUAGACUACUACGUUGAUAGGUUGCAGGUGUAAAGGUAGA